UACGUAGGGGGCAAGCGUUGUCCGGAAUCAUUGGGCGUAAAGCGCGUGUAGGCGGCCAGAAAAGUCCGCUGUGAAAACUCGAGGCUCAACUUCGAGCUGUCGGUGGAAACUUUCUGGCUAGAGUCCGGAAGAGGAGAAUGGAAUUCUCGGUGUAGCAGUGAAAUGCGUAGAUAUCGAGAGGAACACCAGUGGCGAAGGCGAGUCUCUGGACGACACCUGACACUGAGGCACGAAAGCUAGGGGAGCAAACAGG
rnacentral:rRNA from 1 species